CUCAGGUGACAUCAUGAAAGAAAAUGUCAGCUCAUGAAAAGGAAAGGCAAAUGAAUAUAACCGUGAGGGAUGAAAGACGACAAUUAAAAGGUCUGAUUGAGCACUGAGGAUCAAAUCAUCAACAUAAAACUUGGAGGAAAUCAGGUCGGAGGUGCUGUCGUGGUAAGGACCUACACAUGGGUGCGGAAGUGGUGGCUGGCUUGGAGUGGCUGCCUGCUUCGGAGCGGUAAGAGCCACAGGAUUUUCCAACGAGUGCCACAAACUUCAGCUAGUGCCCACUGCCAGGAUCUCUUUGAGCCAAAUCUGGAUCAAGAAUGUAAGGCAGUCAUGUUAAAGUUGUCUGAUGUGAACCCCUUAUCAGGAGCUUAGGCAUUGAAAAAAACUAAAUAGUAAUAAUCAGUGUUUCUGCUGAUGGUCUUGUGGAUGAAGCUACAUGAAGAAACAAAGUGAACAACAGCGCUUACUGCAUGGGCAGCAGUUGACUGAAAGCAAGUCAACAUGGUGGGAGACUUGAUUGCAUUCAUUUUAUUCCCAAAUCAAGACACUGGUUAGAAUUGCUUUACAUUGGUGUCAUGGAUGAUAAUAUUAAUGGCAUCAACUUGCAGCUGAAUAAGCAUUUUCCCUUUUAUGUCAACAUGUUAAAAACAGGAGCAAACAGUUGUUGGUAUUAAAGCUGACAGAGUUGAGCAGACUCACAUUUCAUUUGAGAACUGAGCCAUUUUCUCGAUGGUGGUGGUAUCCUGAAGAAGAUUCGGAUGGGAGACAAAAAUAAUACAAAUUUAAUUCAUCAUUUCAUUAAGUUCCUUCAUAGUGACUCGUGGCUUUGAUUUAAGUGUUAUAAAAGAACAGCUUAUAUGUAUCGUAGUUUGUCUGUCUUUUCUCUUAUGUAUGUGAUCGGAUUCUCUUGUAGAGAGUUCUAUGUACACACUUUUCCCCUAAAAAGACAGCUUCCUAUUUCCCAUCUCAUCAUGCAGGCUAAGUAUAGACUUCAAAUAUUUCAUAUUGUUGAUGAAAGCAUGCCAAUUGCUCUGGCUAUCAGACACUUGCAUGCACACUCACACUCUCUCACACACACAGCUUGGUCUAAGACUCUCUCUCCUGUUUCUCCUCUAUUGAUCUCAGCAUUACUGGCAUUGAUGUUUUAUUUUUGUGUCCUAUGAGGUGUUGUUCUUUCUGCAGCUUUGCGUGCUGCUGCUAGAUUGUUCUUGGAAGAUAUCAAUGGAAUAAACAAGCCAGAUGACACUGUAAAUAAGUAGCAUCACGCUUCUCUCAAGCAGUUAAAUCAGCUUUGAAAUAUCUUCAGGAAAUCACAAUCACGUUAAAAUGGAUGCUGUAAUCACUGCAGGAUGUGUCAUUUAAAAUGAGAUAGAUCAUCAUUAGUAAUUAUGUAGGACUCACAGAGAGGAUUCCCGUCAUCUGAGUGUAAAACAAGCUCGUCAUGCCACCAAACAUGACCAAACCCAUAAGGGCUGAGAUGCGCAGCAGAGCCAGUUCAUGGCGGGAUGUAAACUUCUCCUGGCAAAAGAAAACAGAACAAUGUUACAUUUGGUCUCAUGUUCUCAUAUUUACUCCUGAAGAUCUUUUUCAUUUGACAAUUUGAAUCUGAAAAGUGUUUCUGCUGGCUCAUACAGGAUGAUAUGAAGCAUUUUGUUUGGAUAUUUUACACUUUCAAAUAACUAAAUAAACACUGUAAAUACUCCAGUCCAAACACC